rnacentral:piRNA from 1 species
GACGAAGACUUCGCGAGACGAGUGGGC